CCUACGGGAGGCAGCAGUAAGGAAUAUUGGACAAUGGGCGAAAGCCUGAUCCAGCCAUGCCGCGUGAAGGAUUAAGGUCCUCUGGAUUGUAAACUUCUUUUAUGUGGGACGAAAAAAGGGCAUUCUUGCUCACUUGACGGUACCAUUUGAAUAAGCACCGGCUAACUCCGUGCCAGCAGCCGCGGUAAUACGGAGGGUGCAAGCGUUAUCCGGAUUCACUGGGUUUAAACGGGUGCGUAGGCGGGUAGGUAAGUCAGUGGUGAAAUCUCGAAGCUUAACUUCGAAACUGCCAUUGAUACUAUCUAUCUUGAAUAUUGUGGAGGUUUGCGGAAUAUGUCAUGUAGCGGUGAAAUGCUUAGAUAUGACAUAGAACACCGAUUGCGAAGGCAGCAGGCUACACAUAUAUUGACGCUGAGGCACGAAAGCGUGGGGAUCAAACAGGAUUAGAUACCCUGGUAGUCCACGCCUAAACGAUGAUUACUCGACAUACGACGAUACUACUGUGUGUGUGUGAGACGAAGACGAUUAACGUUAACGUACCGACCGUACGGUAACGGUACGUACCGACGAGAGUAGAAACGUAACGAAGUAAGUUAGUACGGACGUAGAGGACGACGGACGGACGGACGGACGACGGAGGGGAGGUAGG
rnacentral:rRNA from 1 species